rnacentral:tRNA from 1 species
GCGGCGGUGGCGAAAUCAGGCAAACGCGAUGCCCUCAAAAGGCAUUGCCCGCAAGGGCUUGUGGGUUCGAAUCCCACCCGCCGCA